rnacentral:rRNA from 1 species
GAUGAACGCUGGCGGCGUGCCUAAUACAUGCAAGUCGAGCGAACAGAUGAGAAGCUUGCUUCUCUGAUGUUAGCGGCGGACGGGUGAGUAACACGUGGGUAACCUACCUAUAAGACUGGGAUAACUCCGGGAAACCGGGGCUAAUACCGGAUAAUAUUUUGAAACGCAUGGUUAGAUAGUGAAAGACGGAUUCGGCUGUCACUUAUAGAUGGACCCGCGCCGCAUUAGCUAGUUGGUAAGGUAACGGCUUACCAAGGCGACGAUACGUAGCCGACCUGAGAGGGUGAUCGGCCACACUGGAACUGAGACACGGUCCAGACUCCUACGGGAGGCAGCAGUAGGGAAUCUUCCGCAAUGGGCGAAAGCCUGACGGAGCAACGCCGCGUGAGUGAUGAAGGUCUUCGGAUCGUAAAACUCUGUUGUUAGGGAAGAACAAAUUUGUUAGUAACUGAACAAGUCUUGACGGUACCUAACCAGAAAGCCACGGCUAACUACGUGCCAGCAGCCGCAGUAA